UUUUUUGGCCUUUUCUGGCUUUAUUGACAGUAUAGCUGAAGAGUGUGAGAGGAAACAGGGUAAGAGAGGGGAGUGACACGCAGCAAAGGGACCUGGGCCGGGGUUGAACCCGGCUCUGCUGCAGAGCCUCAGCACAUGGGUCGCGCGCGCUACCAACUGAGCUAAGUGGCGCCCCCUUAGUAUUGUUUCUCAUAUGAGGCUCCUUUUUCAACUAAGCUUUAGGAGUGUUCCACCUUAAAUAUCCUCCAUGUUACGUUCAGGAAUCGACACUUCUCGGCUGCCAUGAUGACUAGGAGUGGAACAAGCUACUGCUAAGUAUCUGCCUGUGAAACAGAGAGCAUGUCCGUUGGAGGUGUUGCUGUUCUCGCCUGUCCUGCUACCUCCAGCUGCGUGUCUACCGCCCCCCACAGGCCAGCCGAGGUUACCCCAUGCUGACCUGUUUAAUUGUCUGCCUGUCCCAGGGCCCACUGGGAGAUUUGGUGAUCGAGGGGAGUCUGCCCUGAGCACCAGCAACAGAAAUACCCCCACUGAGUCCAGACACUGGUGGUGGUGGUGGUGAAAGAUGACUCUUCUGAGACUGGAACGCUGAUGGGAAUAUGAAACUUAUGAAACUAAGGAAUUUGCAAAGACUGAGUGGCGCUGGGCAAAUGGAACUGAUGGCAAAACAGCUGCAUGAAGGAAAUAAAGGCACAGAGAGCAUUGCAUUUAAAAAGACAGCAGCAAGAUGAUCUGAACACUGACGGUGUAUCAUUGUGCUAUGGGAUAGAUGUGACUGGCUGAUGUGAACAGCUGAAAUCAAUUGACAG